rnacentral:rRNA from 1 species
AGAGCUUGAUCCUGGCUCAGAUUGAACGCUGGCGGCAUGCCUAACACAUGCAAGUCGAACGGAAACGAUGGGAGCUUGCUCCCAGGCGUCGAGUGGCGGACGGGUGAGUAACACAUAGGAAUCUGCCCAGUAGCGGGGGAUAAUUUGGGGAAACUCAAGUUAAUACCGCAUACGCCCUACGGGGGAAAGCAGGGGAUUUUUGGACCUUGCACUAUUGGAUGAGCCUAUGUCAGAUUAGCUUGUUGGUGGGGUAAUGGCCUACCAAGGUGAUGAUUUGUAGCUGGUCUGAGAGGACGAUCAGCCACACUGGGACUGAGAUAUGGCCCAGACUCCUACGGGAGGCAGUAGUGGGGAAUAUUGCACAAUGGGCGAAAGCCUGAUGCAGCAAUGCCGCGUGUGUGAAGAAGGCCUGCGGGUUGUAAAGCACUUUCAGUAGGGAGGAAAUAGUUGCGGGUUAAUAUUCCGCGACUUUGAUGUUACCUACAGAAGAAGCACCGGCUAACUCUGUGCCAGUAGUUGUGGUAAUACAGAGGGUGCAAGCGUUAAUCGGAAUUACUGGGCGUAAAGCGCGCGUAGGCGGCUUGGUCAGUCGGAUGUGAAAGCCCCGGGUUUAAUCUGGGAAUUGCAUUCGAUACUGCCAGGCUAGAAUGUAGUAGAGGGAAGUGGAAUUCCGGGUGUAGUGGUGAAAUGUGUAGAUAUCCGGAGGAAUAUUAGUGGUGAAGGUGACUUCCUGGACUAACAUUGACGCUGAGGUGCGAAAGCGUGGGGAGUAAAUAGGAUUAGAUAUCCUGGUAGUUUAUGUUGUAAACGAUGUUAAUUAGAUGUUGGGGGGUUUAACCCCUUAGUAUCGUAGUUAACGUAUUAAGUUGACCGCCUGGGGAGUACGGCCGCAAGGUUAAAACUCAAAGGAAUUGACGGGGGCCCGCACAAGCGGUGGAGCAUGUGGUUUAAUUCGAUGCAAUGUGAAGAAUUUUACCUGCCCUUGACAUUGACAGAACCCUGGAGAGAUUUGGGGGUGCCUUCGGGCCUGGAAAAUAGGUGCUGCAUGGCUGUCGUCAGCUCGUGUUGUGAGAUGUUGGGUUAAGUUUCGCAACGAGCGCAACCCUUGUCCCUAGUUGCCAUUAUUUAGUUGGGUAUUCUAGGGAGACUGCCGGUGACAAACCGGAGGAAGGUGGGGAUGACGUCAAGUCAUCAUGGUCCUUAUGGGCAGGGUUACACACGUGCUACAAUGGCCAGUACAGAGGGUUGUUAACCCGUGAGGGGGAGUUAAUUUUAGAAAGCUGGUCGUAGUCCGGAUUGGAGUCUGUAAUUUGACUCCAUGAAGUUGGAAUCGCUAGUAAUCGCGAAUUAGAAUGUUGCGGUGAAUAUGUUCCCGGGCCUUGUAUAUACCGCCCGUCACACCAUGGGAGUGGGUUGCAAAAGAAGUAGGUAGCUUAACCUUCGGGAGGGCGCUUACCACUUUGUGAUUCAUGACUGGGGUGAAGUCGUAAUAAGGUA